CUGUGGUGGAUGAGUAAUGUUCUCCGCUAGAAAGGAGAGGGCAAGGCUGGUGCCAGCCGCCGCGGUAAAACCAGCUCUUCAAGUGGUCGGGAUAAUUAUUGGGCUUAAAGUGUCCGUAGCCGGUAUGGUAAGUUCCUGGUAAAAUUGGGCAGCUUAACUGUCCUUGUGCUAGGGAUACUGCUCUACUAGAGGGCGGGAGAGGUCUGAGGUACUACAGGGUUAGGGGUGAAAUCUUAUAAUCCUUGUAGGACCACCAGUGGCGAAAGCGUCAGACUGGAACGCGCCUGACGGUGAGGGACGAAAGCCAGGGGAGCGAACCGGAUUAGAUACCCGGGUAGUCCUGGCCGUAAACGAUGCGCACUAGGUGAUGGUGCGGCUAUGAGCCGCAUCAGUGUCGUAGGGAAACCGUUAAGUGUGCCGCCUGGGAAGUACGGUCGCAAGGCUUAAACUUAAAGGAAUUGGCGGGGGAGCACCACAAGGGGUGAAGCCUGCGGUUCAAUUGGACUCAACGCCGGGCAACUUACCAGGGGAGACAGCAGAAUGAGGGUCAGGUUGACGACCUUACCUGACAAGCUGAGAGGAGGUGCAUGGCCGUCGCCAGUUCGUGCUGUGAGGUAUCCUGUUAAGUCAGGCAACGAACGAGACCCGCACCUUUAUUUGCCAUCAAGAAGUCACGACUUCGUUGGGAACGAUAAAGGGACCGCCGUCGAUAAGACGGAGGAGGGAGCGGGCAAAGGCAGGUCAGUAUGCCCCGAAACCCCUGGGCCACACGCGGGCUGCAAUGGUGCGAACAAUGGGCUGUGACUCCGAAAGGAGAAACCAAUCCCGAAAUCGCAUCUCAGUGGGGAUUGUCGACUGUAACUCGUUGACAUGAACGUG
rnacentral:rRNA from 1 species